rnacentral:rRNA from 1 species
UGCGUAGGCGGGGCAAUUAGUCAGUGGUGAAAUCCUGCGGCUUAACUGUAGAACUGCCAUUGAUACUGUUGCCCUUGAGUAUAGUUGAGGUGGGCGGAAUGUGUAAUGUAGCGGUGAAAUGCAUAGAGAUUACACAGAACACCAAUUGCGAAGGCAGCUCACUAAGCUAUAACUGACGCUGAGGCACGAAAGCGUGGGGAGCGAACAGGAUUAGAUACCCUGGUAGUCC